rnacentral:lncRNA from 1 species
UAUAUGUCGCCGAUCAAAGCCGAUCAAAGCCGCACAGUGAACCGGAGGAAAGAGGUAGCGGAAAAAGGAUCAACGGCUUCAGAGAGACAGAUGGCGCUGAGGACGAAGAUGAGGUAGCAGUCCGAGCUCCGGUGGCACCAGAUCUGUCGAAGAAGGGACGAGGAUCGCCGAUCGAAGCCGCACAGUAAACUGGAGGAAAGAGGAAGCGGAAAAGGGUUCAAGGGCUUCGGAGAGACAGAUGGCGCCGAGGAGGAAGGUGAGGUAGCCGUCCGAGGUCCGGCGCCACCAGAUCUGUCGAAGAACGGACGGAGAUCGCCGAGAACGAAGCCGCACAGUAAACCGGAGGAAAGAGGAAAGAGGGAGAGGAAAGGGGAUCGAAAAAAUCGGAGAGAGAGAAAAGAGGGGAACAGCGGCGUAGUUCUAAUUCCACCCUCGGGUGGGAACAGCUGUUCCCACCCGUUAGCGGGUUAUCCAAGGAUAACCCGCUAAGGUGGGAACAGCUGUUCCCAC